rnacentral:rRNA from 1 species
UGUCUCUGACAGAUGAAGUGGUUGAUACCCUGCUUCCAAGAAAAGCCUCUAAGCUUCAGGUAAUAAGGAACCGUACCCCAAACCGACACAGGUGGUCAGGUAGAGAAUACCAAGGCGUUUGAGAGAACUCGGGUGAAGGAACUAGGCAAAAUGGUACCGUAACUUCGGGAGAAGGUACGCCGGUGAUUGUGAUGGGACUUGCUCCCUGAGCGAGAGCCGGUCGAAGAUACCAGGCCGCUGCAACUGUUUAUUAAAAACACAGCACUCUGCAAACACGAAAGUGGACGUAUAGGGUGUGACGCCUGCCCGGUGCCGGAAGGUUAAUUGAUGGGGUCAGCCGCAAGGCGAAGCUCUUGAUCGAAGCCCCGGUAAACGGCGGCCGUAACAAUAACGGUCCUAAGGUAGCGAAAUUCCUUGUCGGGUAAGUUCCGACCUGCACGAAUGGCGUAAUGAUGGUGGCGCUGUCUCCACCCGAGACUCAGUGAAAUUGAAAUCGCUGUGAAGAUGCAGCGUACCCGCGGCAAGACGGAAAGACCCCGUGAACCUUUACUAUAGCUUCACAGUGGACUUUGAUAUUACUUGUGUAGGAUAGCUGGGAGGCUUUGAAACCUGGACGCCAGUCCGGGUGGAGCCAUCCGUGAAAUACCAGCCUGGUAAUCUUGAGGUUCUAACGCAGGUCCAUUAUCUGGAUCGCGGACACUGUGUGGUGGGUAGUUUGACUGGGGCGGUUUCCUCCCAAAGAGUAACGGAGGAGCACGAAGGUGUGCUAAUCACGGUCGGACAUCGUGAGGUUAGUGUAAAGGCAUAAGCACGCUUGACUGCGAGACUGACAAGUCGAGCAGGUACGAAAGUAGGUCUUAGUGAUCCGGUGGUUCUGUAUGGAAGGGCCAUCGCUCAACGGAUAAAAGGUACUCCGGGGAUAACAGGCUGAUUCCGCCCAAGAGUUCACAUCGACGGCGGAGUUUGGCACCUCGAUGUCGGCUCAUCACAUCCUGGGGCUGAGGCCGGUCCCAAGGGUAUGGCUGUUCGCCAUUUAAAGUGGUACGCGAGCUGGGUUUAGAACGUCGUGAGACAGUUCGGUCCCUAUCUGCCGUGGGCGUUGGAGAUUUGAGGGAAGCUGCUUCUAGUACGAGAGGACCGAAGUGGACGAACCUCUGGUGUUCCGGUUGUAUCGCCAGAUGCAUCGCCGGGUAGCUAUGUUCGGACGGGAUAACCGCUGAAAGCAUCUAAGCGGGAAGCCCCUC